rnacentral:rRNA from 1 species
GAUGAACGCUGGCGGCGUGCCUAAUACAUGCAAGUCGAGCGAACAGACGAGGAGCUUGCUCCUCUGACGUUAGCGGCGGACGGGUGAGUAACACGUGGAUAACCUACCUAUAAGACUGGGAUAACUUCGGGAAACCGGAGCUAAUACCGGAUAAUAUAUUGAACCGCAUGGUUCAAUAGUGAAAGACGGUUUUGCUGUCACUUAUAGAUGUAUCCGCGCCGCAUUAGCUAGUUGGUAAGGUAACGGCUUACCAAGGCAACGAUGCGUAGCCGACCUGAGAGGGUGAUCAGCCACACUGGAACUGAGACACGGUCCAGACUCCUACGGGAGGCAGCAGUAGGGAAUCUUCCGCAAUGGGCGAAAGCCUGACGGAGCAACGCCGCGUGAGUGAUGAAGGUCUUCGGAUCGUAAAACUCUGUUAUUAGGGAAGAACAAAUGUGUAAGUAACUCUGCACGUCUUGACGGUACCUAAUCAGAAAGCCACGGCUAACUACGUG